AUCUCAUAUUUUUGCGUCUCUGUUCCCUUCCUUUGCAGUUCCAUUCGUCCAGCAGGGGGAGUAAAAUACCAAUAAAUUACAUUCAGUUUCUUCAUAUUUGUUUACCUUUCCUGAACCAAAACUAGCACUAAAAUCACGUUCACCCGCACCCCUGGGGUAAAUAUCUGAAACUGUAACUUCUCCUUCACCCUUGUGGUCCACUGUCUCCUCCCAUUUUACCCCUUGAGUCCCUCCCUCGUGUUUCUUUUGGAGAUUUUCGUCUUUUUUAGCACAGACUUUUAGGCUCAGACCGACAAUGGAGCAGCCGAGUCAACACCCCAUGGUUUUCUCUGUCAAAGCCUUCUGUUUGCAGGAGAUGACUCCAGACCAAACCAACAAUCAUCUACAGUUAAAGGUGAACAAGCUCAACCCGGGACAAGAUCUGACUUUACUUUUCAAAUCCACACCGGGCGAACAGUACCUCUCUGUGGAAGAUGGAAACAAAGCCCCUCUUCUCCAUUUCCCCAUCUGCGACGGCCUGGACUGCUGUCAGGUCGGAAACCAGUCCUGCAUUGUAACUUUUGAAAACCUCAGCAUCGUUCUGCAGUUUAAAGCCAGAACAGAUAUGCGCACGUUUCAGCAGCUUCUGAGCAACAAGCGGGAUAAAGAACUUACAGGAGGAGGAGGAGGAGGAGGAGGAGGAGGAGGAGGAGGAGGAGGAGGAGGAGGAGGAGGAGGAGGAGAGGAGGAGGAGGAGGAGGAGGAGGAGGAAGUUGUUUCAGUCCAGAGACCUCUCCUUCAAAGGUAAGAGCUGUGCAACACUGUGUACAUGUUGUUUUACUCUUGCUUCUCAUGG
rnacentral:lncRNA from 1 species